rnacentral:rRNA from 1 species
ACUGAAAGCCAUAUCAGCUUGUCAAACCCUGAUUUCAUCAGAUCUCAGAAGCUACGCAGGGCUGGGCCUAGUUAGUACUUGGAUGGGAGACCAGUGGGAAUACCAGGGACCACAGUG